UUCUAGACUCCAUAUGUAUGUAUUAAUGUACAAUAUUUGUUUUUCUCUUUCUGACUUACUUCACUCUGUAUAACAGGCUGUAGGUUCAUACACCUCAGUAGAACUGACUACAAUCGGUUGCUUUCUAUGCUGAAUAUUCCAUUAUAUGUUAUGU